rnacentral:rRNA from 1 species
UCUAAGGUUAUACCUGCCCACUGUACAUAUAUGGGAUUAACGGCCGCGGUACCUUGACCGUGCUAAGGUAGCGUAAUCAAUUGGCUUCUAAUUAGGGUCAGGAAUGAAUGGAGUCACGUGGUUUAGCUGUCUCCUAAAUAUUUACUUGAAAUUACUAUGUAGAUGAAAAAGUCUACAGCUAGAAAAAAGACGAGAAGACCCUUAGAGUUUUACUUAAUGUGAUAUUUAUAUAAUCACAAUGGUUUUGUUGGGGCAACGUGAGAGCAAAAGCUUAUAGUAAUCUCUCGAAUAACACUAACCGAUUAUUUUAAACACGGAAAAAUUACCUUAGGGAUAACAGCAUUAUGUAAUAAAUAAGUUUGUGACCUCGAUGUUGGACUGGGAAAUUUAAAGGCUAGCCGUUUUUAAAGAAAGUUCUGUUCGAACUAUUAUUCCC